GGUAUUAAGCUAAUAUCAAACAAAUCACAGAAUGCUUUGGAUGAUUCUCGAAUCUAUGCCUUCUUGAAUAACCAAGAUUAGAUCUAUUUAUAUUUAUUAGCACAUAAUUGACAGAAAUUUAUAAUGGCAGAAGAUUUAUUUUUCAUCUUCCUUAAGGUAAAGGUUCCCCUCGCACAUAUGUGUUAGUCGUUUCCAGUCUAGGGGGCGGUGCUCAUCUCUGUUACAAAGCCGAAGAGCCAGUGCUGUCCAAAGACGUUUCCGUGGUCAUGUGGCCGGCAUGACUAAAUGCUGAAGGCGCAUGGAACACCUUUGUCUUCCUUACCCUGUAGUUAUCUGGAAGUUUGGGGAAAUCUUGAGAACAGCUCAGGAGGCAGCACAGGAAACUCAGGGAAAGGGAGGAAUCAGCAAGCAUUCUUCCACAAUGGAGAAAUGUUAGCUCUUUCUCUGUGGAAUGACAACCUUCAACCUUCUAAAGUAUCACUAGAACUAUAUUAAUAUACUGCAUGUACUGCACUCAAUAGCAUCCUGCUUUCCUGCAGUCUUAUUUAAAGCUAACAUAAAUGAUGAGUGUAUUGUUUCUCAUUUUGGGGCUCUUUGUAGACACCAAGAACAUACUGUGCUGCUAAUACAGAGGAUCUGGAAACAAUUAUUGAUUAUAUACAUAAGUUAUAUGCUUCAGCUGCAUUGAUGGCAGCAGGUGUUUCUCUGGGAGGCAUGCUUCUUUUAAACUAUUUGGGCAAAACUGGGAAAAAAACACCAUUAAAAGCAGCUCUAGUUUUUUCAGCAGGAUGGAAUGCUUUUGAAUCUGCAAAUUCACUGGAAAAACCAGUAAAUUGGCUUCUUUUUAAUUAUUAUUUAACCAGCUGCCUAAAGUCUUCAGUUACUAGGUCAUAUAUAUAAUUUGAUUUAUUUCCUUAUAUUAUGAACCAUCUGUGCUAUUCAAAUAUAAUUUAUGUUUGAUUAUAUACCAUCAACAUCUGGCAAUGGUAUGGGUACAUUUUCUCUGUGAGCUACUGUCCUCAAUGCGGUCCUUAAGGUUUUCCGAGAACAUACCAUUGCUGCGGGAAUUUAGUCCAUUUUGCUGCUGGUCAUCCUGUUCUUUCUAUUUCCACCCUUCCCAGCAUCAGAGCCAUAUAUAAUAGAU